UCUAAACGGUGAGCUUGAAGGUCAAGUUGAGAGACGAGCCGUUCCGUACGAAUGCGCGUGUGUUGCACGUGUCGGUUCUGGUCGACGUCAGAUGCUCCGUUUGUGGACGGUGUCGGUGAUGGAAAAUAAUAGAAACGCAUUGUUCAGAAGAAAAUAGAAAAAAAAUAGAAACGCAUUGUUCAGAAGAAAAUAUGAUUUUAGGAUUUGUGAUGUGUUUUUCUUUUAACUAUA